AGUGAACGCUGGCGGUAGGCCUAACACAUGCAAGUCGAACGGCAGCACAGUAAGAGCUUGCUCUUACGGGUGGCGAGUGGCGGACGGGUGAGGAAUACGUCGGAAUCUACUUUUUCGUGGGGGAUAACGUAGGGAAACUGACGCUAAUACCUCAUACGUCCUACGGGUUAAAUCAGUGGAUCUUCGGACCUUUCCCGAUUGAUUUAGCCGGGGUCGAAUUAGCUAGUUGGCGGGGUAAGGUCCCACCAGGGCGAGGAUCCGUAGCUGGCCUGAGAGGAUGGUCGGCAAACCUGAAACUGAGAAACGGCCCAGCUCCCAACGGGAGGAAGAGGUGGGGAAUAUUGGACAAUGGGGGAAGGCCUAAGCCAGCAAUACGGGGUGGGUGAAGAGGGCCUUCGGGUGGUAAAGCCUUUUUGUUGGGAAAGAAAAGCAGCAGGUUAAUACCCCGCUGUUCUGACGGUACCCAAAGAAUAAGCACCGGCUAACUUCGU
rnacentral:rRNA from 1 species